rnacentral:rRNA from 1 species
GACAGAGGUUGCAAACGUUGUUCGGAAUUACUGGGCAUAAAGCGCACGUAGGCGGUCCGUUAAGUCAUGUGUGAAAUCCCCCGGCUCAACCGGGGAAUUGCGCCUGAUACUGGCGGGCUAGAGGUCGAUAGGGGUGAGCGGAACUCCAGGUGGAGCGGUGAAAUGCGUAGAUAUCUGGAGGAACACCGGUGGCGAAGGCGGCGUCCUGGACCAACACUGACACUGAGGAGCGAAAGCCAGGGGAGCAAACGGG